rnacentral:rRNA from 1 species
UACGUAGGGGGCAAGCGUUAUCCGGAAUUACUGGGUGUAAAGGGAGCGUAGACGGUGAUGUAAGUCUGGAGUGAAAGGCGGGGGCCCAACCCCCGGACUGCUCUGGAAACUAUGUGACUGGAGUGCAGGAGAGGUGAGCGGAAUUCCUAGUGAGCGGUGAAAUGCGUAGAGAUCGGGAGGAACACCAGUGGCGAAGGCGGCCUGC